UACGGGGGGGGCAAGCGUUGUUCGGAAUUACUGGGCGUAAAGGGCGCGUAGGCGGCCUGCUAAGUCGGAUGUGAAAUCCCUCGGCUCAACCGAGGAACUGCAUCCGAUACUGGGGGGCUUGAAUCCGGGAGAGGGAUGUGGAAUUCCAGGUGUAGCGGUGAAAUGCGUAGAUAUCUGGAGGAACACCGGUGGCGAAGGCGGCAUCCUGGACCGGUAUUGACGCUGAGGCGCGAAAGCUAGGGGAGCAAACGGG
rnacentral:rRNA from 1 species